AAUACAGGCCUAUACAAAGUUUCUCAUGAAUAUUAUAAUUUCUUUUCCAAGUUAUUCUCAUUGUUUUCAUGAAAACAGUAGAGAUAAAGAAGCUGAUGAAGAGCAGGGCCAUGCUAGAAGUAUAUUUGCUCUGAAAAUCAUAAAAGAUCAGAUUUGGUUCUCUGUGCAGGGAAGGAAUGUAUAAGAAAUCUGUAUGGAACACUCAUUUGAGCAAGAAGCAGCUAGUUACUUGUCUUGUGCAAAGGUGGUGAAAGUUAGAUGGUUAGUUAACCUCGGCCACGGACCUUAGUCGGAAGGUCUCCCUAUGUAGGAGUAGCUUCUCACUAUUAUUGCACAAGUUAGACGUUGUUCUCAGCAACUAUAUCCCUUCUCCAAAGUUUAAUUAUCCUACUCGAUGGAAUGUAAUAAUACUCAAGCCCUUUGAAUGAGUAGCCUUUUAAUAUAUUGUUAGCAUUCCGUAUAUGCAAAAGCAGCUAGAAAGAUAAAAGAGUUAUUCUGUAAAAUAGCUGGAAGGUCAAGUUUUGUAAGAUUGAACCCAAGACUUCCAUUUCACCUGAAAAGACUUCCUCAGGUGGGAGAUUGUCUUUUUUUUUUCUUUGGUUUUUAGUGAUAAAGGUUUCGAGAAUAAAUAAAUUAUUACGAAACUUGUUACUGAUUCUCA